UUAGACCUCAAAUCAGUCAGGACUACCCGCUGAACUUAAGCAUAUCAAUAAGCGGAGGAAAAGAAACUAACAAGGAUUCCCCUAGUAACGGCGAGUGAAGUGGGAAAAGCUCAACUUUGUAAUCUGGCAGCUUUGCUGUCCGAGUUGUAGUCUCGAGAAGUGUUUUCCGCGCUGGAUCGUGUAUGAGUCUGUUGGAAUACAGCGUCAUAGAGGGUGAGAACCCCGUUCGUGACACGACUACCAGUGCUUUGUGAUACAUUUUCGAUGAGUCGAGUUGUUUGGGAAUGCAGCUCAAAUUGGGUGGUAAAUUCCAUCUAAAGCUAAAUAUUGGCGAGAGACCGAUAGCAAACAAGUACCGUGAGGGAAAGAUGAAAAGCACUUUGGAAAGAGAGUUAACAGUACGUGAAAUUGUUGAAAGGGAAACGUUUGAAGUCAGACUUGCGUUGUGCGAUUCAGCUCCGGUUCGCCGGAAUGGAUUUCGUACUAUUGCAGGCCAGCACCGGUUUGGCAAGUCCGAUAAAGGUU
rnacentral:rRNA from 1 species